UCAUACGGACGGACAUGGCCAAAUCGACUUGGCUAUUGAUCCUGAUCAAGAAUAUAUAUACUUAUUAUAGUCGGAAUCGCUUCCUUCUACCAGUUAUUAUCAUAUAUACUUCUUCAUAACAAAAUUUUUAAUAUUUUCUUAUAGAUCAUCAUUGAAAGCAAAAACUGUGUACAUACAUUAUAAGAAAGUAAAGCUUUUUUAAAUGGAAUCAUCGUUGCAUUUGUUUUUAUGUAAAUUUUUAUUUUCUUUACAAAAUGUACUCAUAGAAAUUACAACUAUCAAUAAUUAUUUCGUUAAUCUCUGUAGCUGCAAGAGUAUCUAAUGCGUCAUUAAAUUGUAAUACGAUUUAAAUACACUGUCUAACAUAGAGAGACUUAUUUAAAUGGCAAUAUAUUGCUACUGCGAUAAUCCGAAUGACGGAUUGAAUUCCGAACGUAUAAAACAAGCUCUCCUCACUGCAAUUUUUUCAAUGUUAUGUCAGAAGUCAAUGUCGUUGAAUUAGCAUUUUGAGGGCAUUUUCCGUUAGCUGGCAUGCAAGUGGAUAAUCAGUCAAAUCGAUCAGCACGCACGCACUCGACACAUGGCGCUAUCGUCGCUUCCGGUGCGUGCGUCCCCAUCUGCCCAACCCCUCAACUGCCGCCCACCCCUCUUCGAAUACCGCCCACCCCGUCCCCUUUACGGUUUUCCAGCAGGCGUGGCAGGCAAGCCCAAGGCGCCUUAAGAAGCCGAAAGAGCGACACAAAUAGCUGGGGAGCAAGACGUAGCCGAGGAAAAUAAGAAUCUAAAACGCAAUAACUUUGGGGUGAAAAUAGCCGAAAAUAUCGAUGGAGAAGGACACAACGGCGGUGGGAGAACAAUAGACAACGUGUGAAUAAACCGAAUAGUAAUUUCCCUAAUAGAUAAACAGGGUAGGAUUAGCAAACGAAAUAAUAACAUUAAGUAACUAAAUGA